rnacentral:rRNA from 1 species
AGAAGCAGCAACGCCGUGUGAAGGAUGAAGGACUUWUGYUCGUAAACUUCUGUUAGGAGGGAAAAAUAAUCCGCYUUUWGCGGRCUUGAUUGUACCUUCAAAGCAAGCUCCGGCUAACUACGUGCCAGCAGCCGCGGUAAUACGUAGGGGGCAAGCGUUGUCCGGAUUUACUGGGUGUAAAGGGUGCUCAGGUGGAUUYAUAAGUCAGAGGUGAAAMUCCGAAGCUUAACUUCGGAACUGCCUUUGAUACUGURGUCUAGAGUUUGAGAGAGGGCAAUGGAAUAUCUGGUGUAGCAGUGAAAUGCGUAGAUAUCAGAUAGAACACCAAUGGCGAAGGCAGUUGCCUGGCUCAAUACUGACGCUAAAGCACGAAAGUGUGGGGAGCAAACAGGAUUAGAUACCCUGGU